AAAAAGGACUCUCGGCAACGGAUAUCUCGGUUCUUGCAUCGAUGAAGAACGUAGCGAAAUGCGAUACUUGGUGUGAAUUGCAGAAUCCCGUGAACCAUCGAGUCUUUGAACGCAAGUUGCGCCCAAAGCCGUUCGGUUGAGGGCACGCCUGCCUGGGCGUCGUG
rnacentral:rRNA from 1 species